AUGUGAACUGGAAGGGAGCCAACAUGGAGACACAGAGAAAGCAAGAUCCCAGGAGCUUCACUACCUGUCUCCACAGAGCUCCUAACAAGAUGCAACAGUGACUGCGUCAUCAUUCCCCACUUUUCUCAACUACGCAGUGACAACCUCCCAGCAUCACCCCACUUCUCCCAGCCCACACCCUACCCUAUGCUGAUGCUCUCCACCACCCCAGAUGCCCAGAACUAGACGUUUUAAUAAGAGAAUGCCUGGAAAAC
rnacentral:lncRNA from 1 species